CCUACGGGUGGCAGCAGUCGGGAAUAUUGCGCAAUGGAGGAAACUCUGACGCAGUGACGCCGCGUGCAGGAAGAAGGUUUUCGGAUUGUAAACUUCUUUAGACAGGGAAGAAAAAAGACAGUACCUGUAGAAUAAGCUCCGGCUAACUACGUGCCAGCAGCCGCGGUAAUACGUAGGGAGCAAGCGUUAGUCGGAUUGACUGGGUGUAAAGUGUGCGUAGGCGGGGAGGCAAGUUAGUUGUGAAAUCCCUCGGCUUAACGGAGGAACUGCAACUAAAACUACUUACCUGGAGUACUGGAGAGGAAAGUGGAAUUCCUAGUGUAGCAGUGAAAUGCGUAGAUAUUAGGAGGAACACCAGUGGCGAAGGCGACUUUCUGGACAGUAACUGACGUUGAGGCACGAAAGUGUGGGGAGCAAACAGGAUUAGAUACCCUUGUAGUC
rnacentral:rRNA from 1 species